rnacentral:ncRNA from 1 species
GUAAAGGCUGUGAAGGUGUACAGUAGCGAAGUGUUUUCUUACAGAGAGAAGAAGUCAUCGGCUGUGAGCUUCUUUAAGUUCAGACAUGGAGUGAAUUUCCCACCGGAGCUUUUAGGCUGAACCCCAGCGGGCAGUAAGCUUAAACGUCACACGCGUUAAGUGUCAGAGGUGUCUGCCGCAUUGGCAGGAACUUGGGUGGUACCGCGGAUCAGAUUCGUCCCUUGU